rnacentral:rRNA from 1 species
GGACGGGUGAGUAACGCGUGAGUAACCUGCCUUCAAGAGGGGGAUAACAUUCUGAAAAGAAUGCUAAUACCGCAUGAUAUAUCGGAACCACAUGGUUCUGAUAUCAAAGAUUUUAUCGCUUGAAGAUGGACUCGCGUCCGAUUAGUUAGUUGGUGAGGUAACGGCUCACCAAGACCGCGAUCGGUAGCCGGACUGAGAGGUUGAACGGCCACAUUGGGACUGAGACACGGCCCAGACUCCUACGGGAGGCAGCAGUGGGGGAUAUUGCGCAAUGGGGGCAACCCUGACGCAGCAACGCCGCGUGAAGGAUGAAGGUUUUCGGAUUGUAAACUUCUUUUAUUAAGGACGAAAAAUGACGGUACUUAAUGAAUAAGCUCCGGCUAACUACGUGCCAGCAGCCGCGGUAAUACGUAGGGAGCAAGCGUCGUCCGGAUUUACUGGGUGUAAAGGGUGCGUAGGCGGCUUUGCAAGUCAGAUGUGAAAUCUAUGGGCUCAACCCAUAAACUGCAUUUGAAACUGUAGAGCUUGAGUGAAGUAGAGGCAGGCGGAAUUCCCCGUGUAGCGGUGAAAUGCGUAGAGAUGGGGAGGAACACCAGUGGCGAAGGCGGCCUGCUGGGCUUUAACUGACGCUGAGGCACGAAAGCGUGGGUAGCAAACAGGAUUAGAUACCCUGGUAGUCCACGCUGUAAACGAUGAUUACUAGGUGUGGGGGGUCUGACCCCUUCCGUGCCGGAGUUAACACAAUAAGUAAUCCACCUGGGGAGUACGGCCGCAAGGUUGAAACUCAAAUGAAUUGACGGAAGG